UUUGUUGGGCGGCGAGCGGCGGACGGGUGAGUAAUGCCUGGGAAAUUGCCCUGAUGUGGGGGAUAACCAUUGGAAACGAUGGCUAAUACCGCAUGAUAGCUUCGGCUCAAAGAGGGGGACCUUCGGGCCUCUCGCGUCAGGAUAUGCCCAGGUGGGAUUAGCUAGUUGGUGAGGUAAGGGCUCACCAAGGCGACGAUCCCUAGCUGGUCUGAGAGGAUGAUCAGCCACACUGGAACUGAGACACGGUCCAGACUCCUACGGGAGGCAGCAGUGGGGAAUAUUGCACAAUGGGCGCAAGCCUGAUGCAGCCAUGCCGCGUGUAUGAAGAAGGCCUUCGGGUUGUAAAGUACUUUCAGCAGUGAGGAAGGAGGUAUCGUUAAUAGCGGUAUCUUUUGACGUUAGCUGCAGAAGAAGCACCGGCUAACUCCGUGCCAGCAGCCG
rnacentral:rRNA from 1 species